UACAAAUAACAUAGUGAGGGUUUUUUUCCAGAAGUUUUUGAAUUUAAAUUAUAUGUCCUGGUCCCUGAAAACAUCUUCUCACCUUAUCUUAACUUGUCCAGUAUUUGUCUCUUCAUAAAUUUCCAUAUAAUAAUAAUAUUUAAUUCUAAAACCAUGCCAGCUAAUGUUAAGCAACAUAUACAAAAAUGUCCAAUUCUUAAAAUGUAUCUUUGAAAACUUACAAAUAGGGUCUUUCGAAAUAAAAUAAAAAAAAUACAGUAUUUCAACUAGGCA
rnacentral:lncRNA from 1 species